AUGGGUGUGACUGAAGGAAGUAUGAAGGGUUGCGGAUUCACGUGUGUUGAGUUGGUUAUUUUAGAUGCAGGUUUUUGGACUGGUGUGGACAGGUACAGUAGGGCUGGAAAUUGGGCGAUAGGCUGUUUGACAUCUUGCAACAGGUUUAGGGCAGCAGCAGGACUCUUUUCUUGGUCUGAUUUGAUGCAGGGUUUUGCUGGCUGGUGGAGCAGCAUUGUAGUAGGUUUUUCGUAG